rnacentral:misc_RNA from 1 species
GAAAUGCGAUAAGUAAUGUGAAUUGUAGAAUUCCGUGAAUCAUCGAAUCUUUGAACGCACAUUGCGCCCUCUGGUAUUCCGGGGGGCAUGCCUGUCCGAGCGUCAUUGCGAACCCCUCAAGCACGGCUUGUGUGAUGGGCCCUCCCGCGUCUUGGUCGUCAAGACGGGCCCGAAAAGCAGUGGCGGCUUCGCGGUUAUCCGAUCAGCCAGAGCGUAUGGGGACUUUCUCUUUGUCACACGCCCGCGGCGCGGACCGACGCCUGUCGACCUUUAUUCAUCUUUUUCUCGGUUGACCUCGGAUCAGGUAGGGAUACCCGCUGAACUUAAGC